UGAGGAACAUGACCUUCGGCGGGGGAUAUCCGGCCCAACGGCCGGGUAAUACCGCGUACGACCACAUGGGGACAUCCCUGAGUGGUGAAAGCAGCAAUGCGCCGAUGGAGUGCCUCGCGGCCUAUCAGCUAGUUGGUGAGGUAACGGCUCACCAAGGCGACGACGGGUAACUGGUCUGAGAGGAUGGCCAGCCACAGUUGGGACUGAGACACGGCCCAGACUCCGUAGGGAG
rnacentral:rRNA from 1 species